UACGUAGGGCGCAAGCGUUGUCCGGAAUUAUUGGGCGUAAAGAGCUCGUAGGCGGUUUGUCGCGUCUGCUGUGAAAACUCGAGGCUCAACCUCGGGCUUGCAGUGGGUACGGGCAGACUAGAGUGCGGUAGGGGUGACUGGAAUUCCUGGUGUAGCGGUGAAAUGCGUAGAUAUCGGUAGGAACACCAGUGGCGAAGGCGGUCUCCUGGGGCAUACUUGACGCUGAGGCGCGAAAGCUGGGGGAGCGAACGGG
rnacentral:rRNA from 1 species